rnacentral:tRNA from 1 species
GCGGAUGUGGCGGAACCGGUAGACGCAGCGGACUUAAAAUCCGCUUCUGGCUUCAGAGUGCGGGUUCGAGUCCCGCCAUCCGCACCA